GGAAUCUUCGGCAAUGGACGAAAGUCUGAUGGAGCAACGCCGCGUGAGUGAAGAAGGGUUUCGGCUCGUAAAACUCUGUUGUUAAAGAAGAACAUAUCUGAGAGUAACUGUUCAGGUAUUGACGGUAUUUAACCAGAAAGCCACGGCUAACUACGUGCCAGCAGCCGCGGUAAUACGUAGGUGGCAAGCGUUGUCCGGAUUUAUUGGGCGUAAAGCGAGCGCAGGCGGUUUUUUAAGUCUGAUGUGAAAGCCUUCGGCUCAACCGAAGAAGUACAUCGGAAACUGGGAGACUUGAGUGCAGAAGAGGAGAGUGGAAUUCCAUGUGUAGUGGUGAAAUGCGUAGAUAUAUGGAGGAACACCAGUGGCGAAGGCGGCUCUCUGGUCUGUAACUGACGCUGAGGCUCGAAAGCGUGGGGAGCAAACA
rnacentral:rRNA from 1 species